UUUAAAAAGUACAAUUUUUUGUUUAAGAAACAAAAUCUAAUUUUAAAAUGUCUACUACAUUCCGUUUAUGACAGGAUGUAGAAUUUUAUAUUAUCGUUUUGAUGCACUCUAAUUCAACGUGACGUCGUACGUCGCAACUGCAUGUAUAUUAAAACACAUUCACUCGUGAGAAUCGAUCAAGUCACAUGGAUAGACUCGGGUUCGUUAAUAAUUCCUACGUGCAUAUAAGCAGCAGUACAGUAACGGCGAACGAAACCCAGGAUGCACCUCGGAUACACGCGCGUUCGUCGAACAUAUCUGUUUUCAGUUCGCCGUAAAUGAUGCACGUGGCCCGCGUAAAGCAAGACGUGUAUAUCGUUCAUGACGCAGCUGGCAGCGAACGUGUCGAAAUGACAGCCCGAUAAUUUUACCUCACGUUUACUGAACGUAAAUGGUUUCAAUCACAACAUGCUUCAAUAACGAUGCAUAAUCGACGUAAUAAAAGAAGAAUACAAGCAUAUGCGAACGUCACGAGAACGUCACAUAUUUUACAUUAUUAGACGUUUUAUUCUUUGAUACUAUAUUAAUGAUGUACUCUCUUCUCGAUCAUAUUUUUAGCAAUAAUAUUUAGAUGAAAUAUUCUUAACAGCGUAUUUAAAUAAUAUGUUAGAUAAUGUUUUACAAUUACUGCUUCAUAAUUUCUUUGAAAUUAUUACCAAUAUCAUUUGUCAUGUUCUUUAGCAGUCCACAAGCAAUUAUUGCAGCUGCAAAACGUUAGUGAAGAACGGGGUUGCGUCGACAAACGUCGUGCAAGUUGAACGAUGAUCCGUAGAUCUAUUUGGCCUACUUUAAUAUUUCGAGCAACACUGCCUCUUUCGCGUUUUGUAACGAACAGAAACGGCGCGUUGGAGAUUGUCCAGGAUUCAGUCGGCUCGCUUUAGAUUCGGCUACUCGGCCGAGAUGCGCGACUUCAAGCUAUAAUUGAUGAGCUAUAAUUCUUGACGAUCGAUGCCCAACAAGCGACUUCCAGCAUAAUCUUCGUCUAAAAAUACUAUCUUUAUUGAAUUAUAGACCAUGAAAGAAAGGCAUUGACAAGUUUGCAUACGUUUGGAGAUAUUAUGUCAAACGGUUCUAAAUUGAGAGAUUUUCAAAAUAAAACUGUAUUAAAUGAAUAUUUUUUUGAUGAAAGCAGAAAUCAAAAGUUUUAGAAUUUUAACGCAGGAAUAUGCAAAUUAUAUACAACACAACAAAUUACGUAAGUUAUUGAUAACGGAUGAUUAGAUGUCUUUGUAAUUAGAAAGUUUUCCAUACUUAUAUUCAUGCAAAUUAACUUUUCUUCUGGCUAAAGGAAAUUAAUAAAAUGGAAAGACUCCACAGUUUCGAAGAAAGCAGGAAGGAAUUAUGUGGAACAUCCCAUGUAUAUCCUGUUUCGUGGUUAUUGCGCGAAAUGAUGAACAGGAGAUAAUAAUCCGCAAUUAAUCAAGAAAACCACAAGCAUAAAAGCGUAAUUCGGUAUACGGUAUAUUUUCCGUAUCGGUAGAAAGUACGUACUUUCCAGUACGCGCUUCGGAGUGAUAUAAAUGCUAUAUUUCACUGAGUUAUGUCUAUAGGAAGAGAUAUCGCAGAAAACGGCCUUCUCCAAGAGAAUUAAUCAUUCCCUACUUCAUAGUAAUGUCAACAAUAAAUUUACAGCAUAUUGCGGAGUAGAGGAGCAAAUCUUAAUUAUUGUACAUUGCUAAUUCAAUGAAUGAAUAAAUUCAUUUGGGUCGAGCAAUGAAUCUACUGGAAGACGGUUCCGUUUACCCUACACUCGAAGUUCCGGUGUUUCACUUGACCCCGUGGCAGAUACGUAAGCAGUUUCCACGAUGCGUCAUCGUGACCAAACGUUUGAGUUGAUCGAUUUCAAGGGUCGACCAACCGGGCUGGCCGGAAGUUUUCAUAGGCUGCACUUUCGGCGGAAGUACCCUACCACAUGCAGAUAUCCCGAAUCAAUUUACUCCUGCAUACUUAGCAUCCUAUUUUUAGAAUUUCGAUAUAGCUGAUGAGAGUCUGGCUGUUUCUCAAAGAACUCUAAAGCUCUUGACACGUUUCGAAAGAGAGUUUCGUUGAUUAAAUAAAAGAGCUUGAAGACGUUUCAAUUCUUCACAUUUCCAUAAAUUGGCCGAAACAUUUUUAUAUCAAUCUGAUUCAAAAUAAAUGUUGAAUCGAAAGAAAUGUAAAAAUACGACCUAUUAGAAUUUUUUGUUUCCGUGCGUAUUACUAUGCGCGGCGUUGUUUCAAGUAAUAUAUGCACCCUUUACAUAAUAGGACUGUAAGAACUUCCGCAGGAAAUGCGAAUAAAGGGAUCACGAUUACACUCUGGAUAUACAUAUUGUCACAUAAAUAUAUUUAAAGUUGUCUAACAUGUAUACGUAACCAUAACAUUUUACAUACGAUUAUUAUAAAUGACAUUUCUGCACAAUACUCCUUUACUAUACCAAUUUAGUCAUAAUUACAGCUUCUAUUUUUAAGUCUCAGUUAUUCUUAAACAAAUUUUGUAAUGUUUCUCAUAUAACAAUUGACUUAACUUAUUUAUAAAAUCAAUAAAUAACAUUAUAAAGACGGGGAAUAAGAAGAACGAACUAUAUGCGGGCACUUUCAACAUUUUACUUUAUGAACACCUUUAGUUGCGAUGGCACCGUUUCCUCCUCAGGUAAUCGCAGAAAAGCAAGCACUGCCUUUGCAAAAGGGCGCUCGGAAGCCAUCCGGUGUCGAGGUGCUUUAUCGUACCCCAUGAAAUGAGAUAUGAGGGGGAGAAAUGCUUAUUCGCGGUUUCCCUCUCGUUCCUCGCCGCGCGCGAGAACGGCGAUAAAAGGAGGAAGGCUCAUUCCCCUAAUUGGAACGCGCGCCCGUUUUGCUUCCGAGGUAACAGGUGGUGCCUAUACAUGCCACUUAUUCGCGCAACGUUCGUACGCGAGGCUCGGGAAAAACCUUUCGCCGCUGUGCUUUUCCUAAAUUGACAUCCGUAUGUAUGCCCCUUUGGCCUCUUAAAUCUUUUAUCUCAUAAAAGAGAUAUCGACUUUCUAUUAUUUAACGUGAUUGUCAUCGCAAGACAGUUAUCAGUAUUACGUCAUCAUUAGAAAUGAAGCCUACUUUCAUUGAACGGUGGCACGCGGUAUCACGACUUUUUUCAAAUAAAUGAAGAGCUCAAUGAUCAGCUGAAGCUGUCGUAUUAUAGUUUCAUGCUGCACAACGCAAUAAGUAAUUUAAUCAGCAAGAUUUUUCGAUAAUCAUUUCAGGAUGUACACCGCACAGAAUAAUCUGAUUAAAUGUCGUGUGCUGAAAUCUGCAUUAUACACGAGUCCGCCUCACACAGAGGUAGAAAUAUUCUUUCAUUACCGGUGAUUAGCGAGGCGUGACAAUUAAUACGGUAAAUAGAAGGAGAAAAAUGAGCAACUUGUGAAAUCCGGUGGGGAAAUAUAAUUAUUUCUUCGCUUGAUGUGCCGACAUAUGCAGCGCGAGAUAUUUAUGUAUCUAUUACAUUACACAAGGAAUUAUAUAUAUUUCCUGUUUGUAUAAUAAUUAUAAAACCGCAUAAUUGUAAAGUGUGUAAUGAUGAUAUAAUAUCAUGCUUUUGUGUUUGUAUGUGUUUUUAAUAAUUUCUUUAACUAAAACUAAAAAUUUUAUUUUUCCUGUAUUGUUAAAUGAAGGGUCAGGGUUAAAUAUUUUUUCCUAAUAAAAACGUCAGUGUCUCAACAUGUUUAUUACGAAAUAAUCGACUCUCCGUAAUUUGAUCAAAGAACCCAGGUGAAGUUUACCGGCGCGGUUGGAAAUGCACCCUGUGCAACGCCCACGUCAAACGACGAUAUGGCGAAAAAAUGCGCACGACGACGUCAUCGGCGUGCAUAUGCGCGUGCGAACGUGCAUGUGCAUGCACGUAGUAGGCCCUGUACAAAGCCUUCAAUCAAAGCGCGUCUUUGCGCCUUUGACAUAUCCGUAAUCACCGUCGUCGUGCACGCUGCCGUGAACACUGUUGUUCACGCGUCGAUUUGUUUUAUCGAUUAGUUCAGGCGAGUCCGCCAGGGAACCCAUGACCUUUGUCGAAAUUCUAAUUCAUGUUCGGGUAACUCGCGAAUCGCGCAUAUCGCGAAUUCCGCACUUCCAUUUCGGUGGAUCAUCGCAACGAACUAAUAAUUACCGAUAAUUCGAAACGGAUGAAUCCGUAUAAACGGAUAUUAUUGUUUCCUCCCCUUUUUUUAUUUAUUCAUGUAAGUUUCUGAUGUAAUAAAAACCUGUGAAAACGGAUUCCGUGUGCACAUUCCGAUGCAUUUAAUCAGCAGACUGUGACUAUGACUAUAGAAGUUGUACUUCCUCGGAAGUCCGUUGGGUGUUGGUCGAUUACGGCAAUAUAAUAUAACUAUUCAAGAUGCAAAGCACAUUGUAAGGUCAUCGGUCAUAAGGUCACUUGCGUCUACCUAUCGGUUCUAGAAGUUAAGUGUUUUUAGUUUAUAUGUCACUCAACUUCCACAGAAUUGUAAGCCUCAAUGGGGAAAUACGUGAACACUGAAUCGUUAUUUGUCCAUAAUAUCUAUUUAAGUCGCGUGACGUAACUAAUGAAUCCGCAGUGAAUAUAACGCGAUUGCAUAUGAAAUAAAAUAAUGUUUUACACGUUCCAAAUCUCUUUUUCAGAUUUGCUUUGUUAGUCUGCCAGAUUUAUACAAAUGAUGGAACACGCGAGGAAAUUGGAUGCAACAAUUUGUCAUCUAUUAUUGUAUCGAUAUUUUUGAUCGGGAUAAAUCUCUCUUGUAAGAAAUUCCCUCGAUAUUAUUUUACACGAUUACUCAAUGAUCGCUCAGCGGGCCACAGGCAUGAGAAAAUGGAUUUUCUAAUAUAUUCCGCUUUCGAAAUAUUGGAAAGCGUUGAUCAAGACUCAAUUCCAGGCGGAAACGUUGCGCUGCCACUCGCGCAUCGCAAGCGAGUUGAUACGCACCUGUUACAACAUAAGAUGCUAACGUCAGUUUCUCGUGCAUUAUCCAGCAAGAAAGUAAAUAUCGCUGGCAAAAGAUCCUCAUCUCCUCCGCUCCUGUAAUUACCGUAAAAGCUGUGCAGUCGCGCCGAUGAAAUCGGGUUUACCGCCACUAUCUCUGCUCGAGCACUCGCGAUUAAGCAACCUACUUCGCAAUAGUUGCAUCUUCGCCGAAUAUUUAAACGCUGGAAGCGCGAAUUCUACUGUAAUAUCAGGCCGUUACUUGGAAUUAGUAAAGGUCGUACUACAGGCUUCUUUAAUAAGAGAUAACAGAGUGCGGACCUUGAUCGCGAUUUUCGCAACCUACCGAGAUCGACAAACUUUCAGCCAUAAGGCAGAAACUUGUGAUAUCAUCAACGUAUAUUCCCGAGUUCUCAUUUAAUGUCACAUUUUGCGAGUUUAUUGGGAAGAUUUCGCGAAGAAGGGGAGGAAUUGAUUCGAAUUACUUGGAAUUUUAUGAAUUAAGGAGAAAAAGAAUCGCUGUUGAUGUAGACUGCUAUCAUAAAAAUUGCUAGAAUUAUGUUUACUCACUUCACUGUUUUCAAUUCAUAUUAAAGAUAUAAUUUUCCAAUAUAUGUAUAUCGCUAGUGUUAUGCAUCUGAGUAACAGAAAUAUAAUUUAUUUAUUUACACUAUUUUAAUACAUUAUAUUAUACUUUUCAAGCUUCGAAACAAAUUGGAAUUUACAUAAAACAAUGACUGCAUUCAGCAGAGAAAGCUACUUUGCAAUCGUUGUAAAAUUCAUGAAUCUGAUUGGCAUAUGCUCUUAGAUUCAAUCCAAAUUAAGAGCAUGUGCCAAUUAGAUUCACGAUGUUUACAACAGUUGCAAAACAGCUUUUUCCGCUGAGCGCAGACAAUAUUUAAAUUUAUAUUUAAAUAAAUAAAUAAAUAAAUUUAUAAAAUAAAUUUAAAUUUAUAUUUAGUUUAUAAGUCAUAAUUAUAAUCGGUGUUACGAGUUUAAUUUCAAAAAUCACAUAUCGUUGUUGAGACACUCAGCGUCGUGACGUUGCACACCAAAAUUUCCACUCGAACAUUUAUUUACCCAUUAAACGAGGGAUUCGAUUAGAUCGCGCGUUGAUUGCACGUCUGGAUGAAGUUAGGCAGCGUAUUUUCGUCGACGAGACCCUCCGCGAUCUUGACCUCGAACGAGACGGUUUUUUGGUGGCGCGUUAUUGGCGGCAUCGAGAUGACUACGAAUGAUCUUAUCGCGCGGCGCGAGAUUCCAGAAACGGCUAGAAAGCAUUGCCGAUCGAUCGCUCGCCUGCUGAGUAUAACGACGCAUGGGGAACCAUAACGAGGCGGCCACGGUGGACUUUUUUCUCUGGCGGUCGGCGACGAUGACUCAGAGCGUGCUCGUCGUUCCCAGGGGACGAUAACACUGUGUUACACCACCUAGGACGGUUAGGGUGAGGAAGGAAUCACGGGGAGGGCCCUGGCCUAUACUUCUCUGCCAAGGCCAUUUUAUCUACCUUGUCUGACGCGAGAAGAGAAUACGUGAGAAUCUUAGUGACUCUUCCCCAUAGAGCAGAUUCGCGCCACCAGCUUAAUGUGACUUCGUUAUAAUGGAUCAAGUGGCAUUGUCGACAUUACAGUUCAUUGCUAAACAGUCACUGUGGAGAUGAGACAACAAGCAUGUCCUCAUUCCGAGCAAUUUCAUUCAUUUGAGAAUCGCUCGACUGUUACGUAUCUUCUCAAAUAUCGUUAGAGUCAAUAUUAUUCUCAGCGCUUGAGGUAACGAUUGUUUAGUUUAUCAGACAAUGGUUGAACAGCCCGUAUGAACAACUCCAACAGUCCCCCUUAUUAUUGUACUCUGAUUGGAUUACGCGGGUAGGAUUUUUAUCGGUUUUAUUAUAAUGGACUUGCCCCCAUGUGUGUCACGUUCGAUAGUAGAUUCGAUGCAUGAAACGUUUGCGAGCGAAAUAUUCACACGAUCGAUGGGGCAAACAAGAAUCCAGGUUAUUUGGAAGAGAAUAAUGUGAUUACUCAGAUAUUUCUUUUUACAUAUGCUUGAAAAAUUGUGACAAAUGGUUGUUUAUAAUAUUAUCACAUCCUGGAGACGACCAGGAUUGACCAGGAUAGCAUCAGAAUUUUUUAUACUUUUGAUGUACGAUAUUUGAAGAAUGAACUUUAAUUUUUUUGCUUCUAAUUGUAGUCGUCAUUCGUAAAAAUAGUCGAUGUAAUCGCUAUUCGGUCGAGGCUGCUGUAGCGAAAGAAUUAAAUGAUGUACGAAGUAAAUAUAUCAUUAAAUAUUAUAUUACGUCAGAAAUUAAAUGAAUCUCCUCUUUUUAGAUUAAUGCAUUUAAAUAAUUUUCCGGAAACGGAGUUGUACGCUCAACAACUUUUCGAUAGAAAAAACGAUAAAAUAAUUUUUUGCAUGAGUUAUCGAUAUAUUAUCUACUCUGAAAAGGUUACAAAAAUCUUUUACGCGAAUAUAUGCAAAUCUCCUUUAGAAUUUCGUUAUAUUUAAGAAAUAAAUGGGAAAAUUUUAAUCUGUGAGGUUUAAAAUGUUUCUUGAAUCUGAUAUGAUCUUGUUUUUUAUAUAUUCUGUAACUUUGAUAAUUUUUGAAACAAAGAAAACGCGAUUGCAGUUGAAACUAAAAGCAACUUUUAAUUGAAACUUGACCCUCUUUUUCUUUACUCAAACUCCACCUUUAGUGAUGGCAUGGAGGUAAAAGAAAGAACAAAGAUAGUUAUCUUAAAUUCACUGAAGGAUUGUUAAUGGUAGAAACUGAGGCCACGCUAUUGGCAAUAACUCUUCAGGUCUAAUAUUUGGGAACCUUCUGAUCCUUUCUGAAUUUUCGUCGAAGCGAGACUGCCGAGGGACGUUCGUAGUUUUCAGAAGCCACGGUAUUAUGUUCAAGGCUGCCGGUCGCAUCUGACCGGAAAUACUUCAGCUGCCACGUCUGCCUCGACCCCACGUCUAUUCCAUCCGUGAGAACAAUCGAUGCACGUUAUGCAUGCAAGCUAAUUUCAAUAAAUAAUUUCGUAAUAGUAACAAAAUUGUGCCCAUUACUUCAAUAUAAUAUAAUUUUUAAGUUGCACAACUGCAAUCUUGACAUAUUAAUAUUCAGUAAGAUUUGAAGCAAGACUAUAAGAAACUUUUAAAUGCUAAUGAAUCAGUCUUAGCCUCUCACUGUUGGCGUUAAUGCUGAAUAUUUCAGAGCAACGGAGAGCUUUCUUCCACGUAAGCUGAAUAAUAAAAACAUCCUUUCAGAAACUUGCGGAAAGAGAGAAGAACCAUAGAUACGCCUGCUUGCAUACACUGGAGCAGCUUUCAUGAUGAAGUGUUAUAGUUAACUGAAUUUGCAUUUCAGACAAUUAUACAUGCGUUACUUUUCUGGUUUCCUUGAAAAAAAUAUCAUAUCAUAAAAUGAAAAUUUUAUUAUUAAUAUUCAUUUUUAUUAUUGAUAUUCUGAAGAGGAGAUAAUGUAUAAUAAAGUGAAAUCGAUAAACUGCAGAAUUAGCCAAAGCCUUGACCACUUUUCGUCACCAAUGAAUCGCAUGAAUAAAUUAUUGAAUAAAGUUCAUCUUUUUUUCCUUGCUCAAGGGUACAUAAUUUUGUACACGGUUGUGCUUGAAAUUAUAGAUCAAAGAAAACCUCGCACUUCGUCGUCACUUCGACUAUCGACUAAAAAUUCGAGAUCAUCGAUUUUUCUAGCGAAAUCUCGGAUUGUGUGUCGAUAAAGAAUCUCUUUCCGCGAUACGACGAAAUUGCUUGUGGAAACAGUUACGGACUCAUUUCGUGACAUCAUGCAAACUUUAUUCCGUCAUGUGGCGGCGCAGCGCGGAAGAUUGAAAAUGUUGCGUUUCACCGGGAAAUAAUUUGUCGUGAGCGCGCGGCAGCGGCCUCAUUUCCAUGCUUUACGAGGAGAAAUAAAAGUCUCGUGGAGGCUGCUGUUAGAUCGAUAAAAUAAGUAGAAGCCGAUCUUUCGAUGACGGACGCUAGAAUGAGCAAGUGUGCAUAAGGUGAACGACGCAGCAUCGCACGAUAGCGCCUUUAACAUGACGCAACGCUUUGUAUCGUGCAAGCAUAUACGUCGAAACGUGAUACCUAUUUCGAUAAAAUACUCAACAAAAUCAAAUUAAAUCUUAGCAUAAAACUGGCGAUUAAAUAAUUUAUUUACAUCACAAAAUUAUUACAUCUUUAUUUAGAUUUAUUUUAUUUAAAUUGUUACAAAGCACCGCUAGAGUUGUUACUAUUUACUUUCCUCUUGAAACUCAAGAAACGGCCAGAAAUAAUUAAAGCAAGUACGCUGCUGUGGCGUGGAUCUAUAUAAUUCAUUUCGCGAUACAGCCUGUGUAAGCGACGCAUUUGUGCUGCACAUAAAAUUGAAAUAUCAUGCAACAUUUAACAGGGACGUACGCGGACGUGCUAACUCUCUCGACAUCGAGCGGCCGGAUAUCAUGGAACGUUGGGAUUUCCGUCCGCGCCGGAUUUUUGCCAUAUUUUUUUUCUCACCUCUCGACCAGACGCGCAACCAGACCGCCGUUAUUAUUUGCCGUCCCUAUAUCGACAAGCAGGCACGAUGCGUCGAUGCUGGCGAAAAAAAACUGUGUAUUUCCUGGCGCGACGUAAUUGGCGACGCUUCUUUCACGCUGGGAUCACGAGAUGUGGAAACUCUCCGAUCUAAUAAGACAUCGGUGUACAUUGUUGAAAAAGUCUCCGAGUUAUUAUCCACGAGAGAUCGCCAAACUUUUUGCAUUGUGCUGCUCCCUUCUCUACUAUUUUCCUUCAUGACAUCCGUGCAAGCUCGCGUAACUACUAGUGCGACAAAAAAAUUACGCGGAACGAGAGAGACGGGUUGUUCCAAAUUGCAAAGUGCAUCGUCGUGUAGUCCUCCGUUCCACGAUCGAUCCACUCGAUUUAAUCUAACGGUCUACGGUUACUUAUUCCCCGUUUAAUCCAUUCGAUUUACCUUACGAAGCGGCUUACGAUUGCAUUUAAUCCAGAAUUCGAGGUUCCUGCGAACACGCCGGAAAGAAUAGGAGCGGUUUUUUGAGCCAGGCAAAUGAAAGAAGUCCAUUAAUUUCUCUUGCAGUGCAACGAGCAAAAUUGAAGAACACACAUAACACAAGACACAAAUCCUUUUACAGAAAUUAAGCGAGCACAAGGGUAUUGAAGGAUAAAGAGAAUGCUUCUGCUCUCUCGUCCAAAAAAACCCUCAAAGAGACAAACAGACUGUUAUAUAAAAUAUACGUAAACAUGCAACGCGAAAUAGUCGGCCAGAGGGACAAAAAAGCUCCAGAUAUCGGAAAGCAGCAGAUAUACCGUGUUAUGCACUCAAGUGCAUAAUGUAUCCUCGUUAUGUGUCGCAUCGUUGACAGCACCAAGUCUCUGCGGUCGUCGAAAAGGUCAGGGAAGCAGGGCCCAAUUAAUUUUCAAUUGCACCCCGGCUGUAAUUCAGCCCUUCUAUUUCCGUCGGUCACGCGACGCUGCACUUGACGCACGAUCGGCUCGGCUCCUGCAUCAUCGCGAGAGGCGCCGAUCGUGCGAGAGGAGACAGUUCUCGUGCUGCUUCCGUCCGUGGAAUCGGAUCGAGUGUUGCGUAACUCGACAUCGUUUACACGAGGUAGCCGACACAGUAUGCGGAACCAGACGCGCACAGCCUGAAUAUUAAUGCGUCGCGAUUUGGUUAUUAAAUUGGCACUACAUGGGCACGGUUGAAGAUUAAUUAAAACUUUAAUUUGUUGGUACACAAUAAACUACAAAAUAAUAUUAAUAU
rnacentral:lncRNA from 1 species